AUAAAGAGCGGGUCCGCGGAGGGCCGCGCCUCGGCUCCCGCCGCCCUCGCCGGGGCUGGGCCGGAUUCACCUCAAGACACAAAGCUCUGGUGCCCCAUGAAGUCUAGAGCCCUUGCCCUGAGCCGUACCACACCAUCUUUCACUUCACCAGGUCUCUCUGGAGGUGUCUUUGCUGAUAUUUUGAAGUUAGGUUGAUAUGGUAUAGACAUCCGUCGGACAAGACACAGAGGACUUCAGUCCUGGAGAAACACGGUCUUGCUGCCACAUGUGGCACCUGCCAGUGUUGUGCUCACCUGGACCCCUCCCUCAAAGCCUCUGGGAACCUGUUGGUUUCCUCAUUGAGUGCAAGACUGUGUGCCAGGUACUAUUCCUGGACAAAAUGGAGCUCACGUGGACAGACACCAUGUGAGAUAAGGAGGUGCAGAAGGCAUGUGUUGUUGCCAGGAGUAAGUACGAAGAAGAAAGACCAUGGGGCGCCUGGGUGGCUCAGUCGGUUAAGUGUCUGACUU